rnacentral:rRNA from 1 species
UGCCAGCAGCCGCGGUAAUACGGAGGGUGCAAGCGUUAAUCGGAAUUACUGGGCGUAAAGCGCGCGUAGGCGGUUUGGUCAGUCAGAUGUGAAAGCCCCGGGCUCAACCUGGGAACUGCAUUUGAUACUGCCAAGCUAGAGUAUGAUAGAGGCAAGUGGAAUUCCAGGUGUAGCGGUGAAAUGCGUAGAUAUCUGGAGGAACAUCAGUGGCGAAGGCGACUUGCUGGAUCAAUACUGACGCUGAGGUGCGAAAGCGUGGGUAGCAAACAGGAUUAGAUA